AUUGAACGCUGGCGGCAGGCCUAACACAUGCAAGUCGAACGGUAACAGAACUAGCUUGCUAGUUGCUGACGAGUGGCGACGGGUGAGUAAUACUUAGGGAUCUGCCUCUGUGUGGGGGAUAACUAUUGGAAACGAUAGCUAAUACCGCAUGAUGUCUACGGACCAAAGGGGGGAUCUUCGGACCUCUCGCCAUUUGAUUAGCCCAAGUGAGAUUAGCUAGUUGGUGAGGUAAUGGCUCACCAAGGCGACGAUCUCUAGCUGGUUUGAGAGGAUGAUCAGCCACACUGGGACUGAGACACGGCCCAG
rnacentral:rRNA from 1 species